rnacentral:rRNA from 1 species
AUGGGCGAUUACAAAGUAGAAAUAGAUGUUCAGUCUUAUUUGACGAUUGUAGACGGCAAAUGAGUGUACAGAAGGGGCAAAACAUGGGAUUUCAUGGCCGGUCGGGACUUGUCUGUGGCGCGAAUAAAGGAGGUUGUGGAGGAGAAGUUUAAGUGGUCUACUGAUCAGAGGAUGACCAUUUGGUAUGGAACCGGAGAUAACACCGUCCCGUUGAUCUCUGAAUCAGAGAUAGCUGAGCUAUUUAAUAGAUGUUCUAAGACAAAAAUAGUAAGGUUCGGUGUGACCAUUGAGAGAAAACAACAACACAAUGAACAUGCUUCUUUCAUGGCCGAGGGAAUGGAUGAUCAGCCGGUUCAUGCUCCAUUCUUUGCUUGGACGAAGCAAGCCUAUGAAGGGGAGUACGAGGAUGAUGAGCCCGUGGGAUGCGAUGAGGAGAACACCUAUUUGCAUGAGGAGAAUGUAGAGUCAAAGGAGAAUGCCGAGCCACAGAAAAGUGCCCAGCCAAAGGUUGCAAGAGUACCAUUGGGAACACUAGAUGUUGACAACUCUUAUGAUCCACAUCAUGUGCGAGGGGAUGAUGAGACUUUACUUGCGAACAAUGUGGCUCCUACUUAUAUCCAUGAUAAAAAAAUCCUCGUCUUGAAGUAG